rnacentral:rRNA from 1 species
GAUGAACGCUGGCGGCGUGCCUAAUACAUGCAAGUCGAGCGAAUGGAUUAAGAGCUUGCUCUUAUGAAGUUAGCGGCGGACGGGUGAGUAACACGUGGGUAACCUGCCCAUAAGACUGGGAUAACUCCGGGAAACCGGGGCUAAUACCGGAUAACAUUUUGAACCGCAUGGUUCGAAAUUGAAAGGCGGCUUCGGCUGUCACUUAUGGAUGGACCCGCGUCGCAUUAGCUAGUUGGUGAGGUAACGGCUCACCAAGGAACGAUACGUAGCCGACCUGAGAGGGUGAUCGGCCACACGGGGACUGAGACACGGACCAGACUCCUACGGGAGGCAGCAGUAGGGAAUCUUCCGCAAUGGACGAAAGUCUGACGGAGCAACGCCGCGUGAGUGAUGAAGGCUUUCGGGUCGUAAAACUCUGUUGUUAGGGAAGAACAAGUGCUAGUUGAAUAAGCUGGCACCUUGACGGUACCUAACCAGAAAGCCACGGCUAACUACGUGCCAGCCGCCGCAGUAA